rnacentral:misc_RNA from 1 species
GUUUAUCACUGACAAGUGGUGAGGUUUGUGAGGGAGCUGUUGCUACUUGGACCUGUAUUGUCAGGGUAUCUCAUGAUGGGGUGAGGCUAGGAUGGCGUAACAAUGGAAAUACUUUAUACCCACAACUUCACGCUGUAUCUUCACUGGGGUCUGGCAGCCCAUUUUAUGCCACACUCAUCUCUAGUGAUAGUAGAAUCAUCAUAUCUUCAGCAACUGCUACAGUAACCAAUAUUGUAAGAGGAUCAUUACUGGAGUGUUCUGAUAGUGACUUUAUGUCUCCUAGCACAAAUGUUACCUUGAUUUUUAAAGGUCCAGUAGCUGCUAAUCUUAGCUCACCUGUGUUUUUUGGUGAUGGUAUCAGGGUCUCUUGGAGUGGAGCCACUUGUGCAGGAUCAUACAAACUUUCUAUUUAUCUCUCAGUUUAUGAAGUUGAUGUAAAGAAUGUAACUGGAACAACACAUUAUGACUUUAUUCCAGUGACUUCUGGUGAGUAUAGCUUUGGAUUAACCAGUGUCAAUCAUUUGGGAAAGGACAUUGGUAAUGCUACAUAAUGUACAUCCAUUUCUUGGAAAGAGCCCAAAAUAUCUGUUGAUACAAAUAUUAACAACAAUUGCCAACUUUACAAUUAGGAACAAUGAUGAUGAACGACCUCCAGUUACUAACUGUAGCAUUACUUUUGAUGAUGUCUUGAAAUCAUGUGUCAUGAGUAAUAUUAUUAUCUUUAACAUAACAUCAGGAGCUAAGCACUCUUACAAUAUUACUGUUACUAAUGCUGCUGGUACAGUUAAUAUGAAUGAGUUGAGUAACCAAGUGAAGAAUACAACAACACAAGUCAAUACAACAAUGGAACUCAGUGCCUCUAUAGAUCCCCUUGCAAUUGCUGCUUCACCCACUGUUCUUGGAGUAUUAAUAAUAAUUGUCUAUUUGUUGGAUAUUGCUGAGGAUAUGUUGGAAGAGACAAUGGUGCUGUCCCAGGAUUUGGAGGAGUAGCUUUUGGUUGCUUUUCUUUUGCUAUGAUUGUUGUACUUAUAAUGCUGGAGUAAAAGGAAAGGCCACUGCUAUAAAUGCAGGUUUAAAUAAUCCAACUGUUGGAGGGGAAAAGGGACCUCAUACAACUCUUUAACUUUGUGUAACUUUAAGUCAAAAACUUUGCUGAUACCACUUCUGUAGUUAUCUAAAUUCACAAGGUUAUUUUACAA